rnacentral:piRNA from 1 species
UGAAUGUGUAGCUACAGGAAGGCCUA